rnacentral:rRNA from 1 species
CCUACGGGGGGCAGCAGUGGGGAAUAUUGGACAAUGGGGGGAACCCUGAUCCAGCCAUGCCGCGUGUGUGAAGAAGGCCCUCGGGUUGUAAAGCACUUUCAGUGAGGAAGAACGCCUGGGGGUUAAUACCAACCAGGAAAGACAUCACUCACAGAAGAAGCACCGGCUAACUCCGUGCCAGCAGCCGCGGUAAUACGGAGGGUGCGAGCGUUAAUCGGAAUUACUGGGCGUAAAGCGCGCGUAGGUGGCUUGAUAAGCCGGUUGUGAAAGCCCCGGGCUCAACCUGGGAACGGCAUCCGGAACUGUCAAGCUAGAGUGCAGGAGAGGAAGGUAGAAUUCCCGGUGUAGCGGUGAAAUGCGUAGAGAUCGGGAGGAAUACCAGUGGCGAAGGCGGCCUUCUGGACUGACACUGACACUGAGGUGCGAAAGCGUGGGUAGCAAACAGGAUUAGAUACCCCAGUAGUC